AUUAAGGUGGCAGAGAUGGUAAUUGCAUAAAACUUAAGCCUUUAUAAUCAGAGGUUCAAAUCCUCUCCUUAAUA
rnacentral:tRNA from 1 species